AGAUUGCAGUGGUUGCAGCCCUGUCAGAUUGGAGUGCUCUCCUGUGAAUGGCAUGCCCAGCUCACCCUUGUAUGUCCAGCAAGUCCAAGCUUAGGCUAAAGCAAAUAGACUUGUAUUGUUACCACAUGUAGUGGUAAGGAAGAGGUUUAACACAGAAGAUGUCCUGCAGAAAAGGUUUAUUAUGUGGUACGGCAAUCUGGAACAAUGUCUAAGACCUAUGACACCAAGUCACACUCUGUGCUUUUCCCCUGAUACUGGGAGUUGCGUGUGAUGUGAAUCACCCUGGGGUGAACUGGAACAGAGAGAGGGCUCUUCUGGGUGUGUUUUUGGACCAUCACUGUGUUGGCACGCAGUUGGUGUGCUCUGAGAUUACCAUGAGGCUGUUGUUGCUUCAGAGAUCCGCAUCUCCCAUAAAGGAGUACCUCAUGUGAAGAUGUCAGCUCUUUUCCUUGCUUUUAAGUCUAAGCCCCUUUGGCAGUUGAUGAAAUUCUGCUCUCAGAAACAGUCACCUGGCUUCUUCCAACUCAGCGGUUCCAUCCUUACAGCCAUGCCUGGAGCUCAACGCCUGCUGGCAGAGCCCUCUCCUCUCAGCCUCCACAGGUCAGCAUGAUAGCACUGUCUCUCUAUGCUUAGGGAGAGGCCUGUCCCGUACAUCCCGUGCCCCCGCAAGACGCCUACUACAACACUGGAUAAAUUUCUAUUCAGAUGCAACUCAGGAUUACAGUUCAAGGAGGGGUGCUCCAGUCCUCUGAUCAUCCUCAUGGCCUCCUCUGGACCCACUCCAACAGGCUCUUGUCCUUCUUGUGCUGGGGGUCCUAGGCUUGAAUGCAAGUGGGAUCUCAUGAAUAGAGCAGAAGAAUCAGGAGAAUCAUCUCCCUUGCCCUGCUAGUUUCAAUUCUUUUAAUGCAGCCAAGGAUACAAUUGUAUGGACCAUCCUGCC
ensembl:lncRNA